rnacentral:lncRNA from 1 species
UAAAUAUGUUACGGAAGUAAUCAACAUAUCUGCAUAUAUGGGAUCAUGGAGAAAUUCAGGAACAAUGAGGCAUAUGAAGUCAUCAUGCCCCUCUUACGUAGAAUCUUCAAACAUGGAGCCAGCUCAAUUAUCACGGGCAGAUAACGCUACUCUUCAUGAGCCCCAAAUCUAUGAGAUACUUACCAGGUCUUCUCUCCGUUCGUAUCCUAUGGCAAACCUCCCAAGCAUCUCUGGGAUCUGUCAAUUUUAG